GAUGAACGCUGGCGGCGUGCCUAAUACAUGCAAGUCGAGCGAACAGACGAGGAGCUUGCUCCUCUGACGUUAGCGGCGGACGGGUGAGUAACACGUGGAUAACCUACCUAUAAGUCUGGGAUAACUUCGGGAAACCGGAGCUAAUACCGGAUAAUAUAUUGAACCGCAUGGUUCAAUAGUGAAAGACGGUUUUGCUGUCACUUAUAGAUGGAUCCGCGCCGCACUAGCUAGUUGGUAAGGUAACGGCUUACCAAGGCAACGAUGCGUAGCCGACCUGAGAGGGUGAUCGGCCACACUGGAACUGAGACACGGUCCAGACUCCUACGGGAGGCAGCAGUAGGGAAUCUUCCGCAAUGGGCGAAAGCCUGACGGAGCAACGCCGCGUGAGUGAUGAAGGUCUUCGGAUCGUAAAACUCUGUUAUUAGGGAAGAACAAAUGUGUAAGUAACUAUGCACGUCUUGACGGUACCUAAUCAGAAAGCCACGGCUAACUACGUG
rnacentral:rRNA from 1 species